rnacentral:lncRNA from 10 species
AACAGAAUCCAAAUAGAAGGGAUUUAAGAUAAGAAUGAGUGGAUGGGAAGUGCAUGCGGCAAAUGGCAACUAUGUAUUUGAAAGGACUGGCUGUGAACUGAGGAGAGAGAGAGAGUUCAAUUUCUAGAAGGGAAAGCAAGUUCUACAAGCAUAGGAAUGAAGCCAUUAGCAAAGGAAAGAGAAAGACCUGAAUAACAAAUUUAGCUGAUUCUGAGGCAGAUUCUACUUCCUGUGUGCAGAAAAUUUACGAAGAAGCCAUGAAUCUCUGGAAACAUUCUGGAAACCUAGGAUUGAAGUAUAAAAUCUGUAAGUACUGUCUCUCAACUCCUCUAGACAAAAAUCCUUUACAUACUCUGUGCCAGACACUAUACACACUGGGCACACAAAAGUGAAUAACAUCCAGUCUCUGAUCUCUUGCAAAUCAGGGAUACGGAUUAAUUUUAGAAAACAAUACAGAUCAGUUAUCUCAUAAUUACAAUAUCCUGUAAUUGGAGCUAUGGUAAAGUAAGCACAGAUACCAUCAACCAUUAGUCGAAAGGCCUCUCUCAGGGCAGGUGAGCUUCAAAGAGGUGCUCUUUGCUUUGGGAUGAUGCAGCCUGAACCAUCUAAUCUUCAGGAUUUUUAUUCAAGGCACAUACUGCGCAGCAUAUGCAGGAACUUUGCCAAUGUGGGAGAUUUUGCACCAAAACCUGGCCUACUCAGCUAGGGGGUAGGAGGGAGCUCCAGGAGAGACAGGAAAGUAAAGCUAAGGAUUCUUCCUAAGGUGUAAGACACGCCCCUCCCAACAGCCAAGUCUUUCCUUAUGCAUGCCCCCGCCUGCAAUAAGGUACAGCAACUGAAAAUGCCCUCUGUGGCCGGGCGCCGUGGCUCACGCCACGCCAGUCAAUCCAAUUUAAUUUUAUACUCACAUGGAUAACACUUGUCCUAGCUUAAUUAUUGAAUUGUCCAUCUUUUCUAGCACUUGUUCUUCCUCUAUAAGAAGAUCUUGGUUUAUCUUGGCUCUUCCAUAUACAUUUUAGAAUCAUGUUGUGAAGGUCAAGAACCGUGAAGAUGCUGAAAUUUUUACCCUACUUACGAAACCAACAUGUUAGUUCCGUGGAUGGAGUUCCACGAUGCUGGAAGAAGACAUGAACUCCUGGGUCAGAGAUAAAGGACUUUACUUAAGGAAGAGCAAGCAGCGUGAGUUUUGAAAGCAAGUUCCUUCCCUUUGAGAUUGCCAACAUUCUCAACAAGUAUCCCUGUGUGCUUUUGAUGAAGAGGAAGGAACAGUAUGGAAGAUUUCACAGGAUAUUCUGUGGUCAGGCCUGCAAGUACAUGCGUCACUUCUGCCCACAUUCAUAAGGACAGAGCUAAGUCUCAUAAAUACAAGGAAGGUGAAAAUGUGAUUUAACUGUAUGCCUAGCACAGAAAGGAGAAUCAGAAUCCCUGCCACAUUUUCUAAUGUAACUACAUUAUGGUCAUAACAUGUGUUCUGUAUGAUAUCAGUUCUUUGAAAAAUUUAAGACACAGCCCAUUUUUGCAAGUGUUUUUUUGUGUGUGUUGGAAAAUAAUGUAUAUUUUCCAAUUACUAAAUGCAAGUGUCUGUAUAUGUAUAUCAACUAAAUCAAAGUUGUUGAUUUUAUUGUUCAAAUUAUUUGCAUCCUAUUGGUUUUCCUUACCUACUUUAUGCAUUAAUAGCUAAGAGAUAUGUAUUAAAAAUUUCCCACAGUGUUGGUGGAUUUGUCAAUUUCUCCAUAGGUUUUAAAAUUUAUAUGCAAUUUAUUUUGAGGCUAUGAUAUUAAACAAUGUAAAUUUGCAAAUGUGAUCUCUUUUUAUUAUAUUCUUUAUUUUUAUAGAGUUCUCUUAUUAGUAUUUUUUUCCUUUAAAGAAUAUUUUGACUGAUAUUAAUUAUGGUCAUAUUACUUUUUUUUUUUGGUUAAAUUUGCCGGGUUCUCCUUCUGAAACUUUGAUUAGAUAUUUUGGACUUUCUCACUCUAUUCUUCUUGUGUCUUCAACUCUUUUAAAAUAUUUUGCAUCUUUUUAUCUCUAUUGCUUUAUUCUUUUUCUUCUUUUGCAGAAGAACAUUCCAUUUUAUUAAUUCUCUACUCCAUUGUAUCCAAGUUAUUUAACCUUUACAUUGAAUUUUUACUUUUAAUUAUUAUACUUUUUACUUCUAGGAGAACUUUGCCCUCAAAUUCUGCCUGAUUUCUUGCUGAUUAGUCAUAUUUUUACCUCUUUCUUGUUUAAAAAAUUUUUUUCCUUAAACACAUAAUUUUUCUAAAAAAUUUAUAAUAUAUUCCCUAUAUUUGUACAUUUCCAAUAUUCAAGUUUCUGUUGUUUAUUAUUUCUGUGACACUUGCAUGCAAUGGCUUAGUUCAAAUGUAUUUUGUGAUUUUUUAAAAUUGAUUCUGAAGUUGUAUUCGCAAUAAAA